rnacentral:rRNA from 1 species
CCUACGGGAGGCAGCAGUGGGGAAUUUUGGACAAUGGGGGCAACCCUGAUCCAGCCAUGCCGCGUGUGUGAAGAAGGCCUUCGGGUUGUAAAGCACUUUCGGACGGAACGAAAUCGCGCGGGUGAAUAUCCCGCGUGGAUGACGGUACCGUAAGAAGAAGCACCGGCUAACUACGUGCCAGCAGCCGCGGUAAU